GGGGUCGACUGGAAUUGACGAGGAGUAAAAUACAUUGUAAGCAUGCGAGGUGUUGUAAGUAGUACCUCAUAUAACAAACUUACGUUGACAUAUAAAUGGCACACCAGCCGAUAGCGCAGGGGUAUAUCCUCUCGCUGCUGCUGCUUAGUCAAGGAUUAAGUAGCAGGUGUCUCGCUAACGCUUGGUUCUACAGGGUUGGCAACCGAGGCAUCAAUACAUGUAGAACUGGUCGUAGUAGGUGUGUGAUGCUAGGACGAGAUGUAAAUGCACAUAAGGAGGGUUUCAGGUGCGUAGCUGACCGUGACUAUCCCGAUCAUCAACAGCUACUAAGCAUGUAGAAAGCAUUGUGGUUGGCUCGUUCGGACGAGGGUUCGAUUCCCUCCGACUCCACU
rnacentral:tmRNA from 12 species